rnacentral:rRNA from 1 species
ACGGUGAGGGGUGAAAUCCUGUAAUCCUUGGGGGACCACCUGUGGCGAAGGCGCCUCACCAGAACGGCUCCGACAGUGAGGGACGAAAGCUGGGGGAGCAAACCGGAUUAGAUACCCGGGUAGUCCCAGCCGUAAACGAUGUGCGUUAGGUGUAUCGGUGACCACGAGUCACCGAGGUGCCGAAGAGAAAUCGUGAAACGUACCGCCUGGGAAGUACGGUCGCAAGGCUGAAACUUAAAGGAAU